AGGAUAAACGCUGGCGGCGUGCCUAACACAUGCAAGUCGAACGCGCUUUCGGGCUUCGGUGCGAGAGCGAGUGGCGGACGGGUGAGUAACACAUGGGUACCUGCCUUUCAGUGAGGGAUACCGGCGAGAAAUCGCCGACAAUACCGCAUGGGCUUGUGGGAACACAAGCAAAGUGGCGCAAGCCACGCUGGAAGAUGGGCCUGUGGCCGAUUAGCUAGUUGGGGGGGUAAUGGCCUCCCAAGGCGACGAUCGGUAGCUGGUCUGAGAGGACGAUCAGCCACACUGGGAUUGAGAACGGCCCAGACUCCUACGGGGGGCAGCAGUGAGGAAUUUUCCGCAAUGGACGAAAGUCUGACGGAGCAACGCCGCGUGCAGGAGGAAGGUUUUCGGAUCGUAAACUGCUUUUCUCGGGGACGAGCAAGGACGGUACCCGAGGAAGAAGCCCGGCUAACUACGCGCCAGCAGCCGC
rnacentral:rRNA from 1 species